rnacentral:rRNA from 1 species
AGUAAUGCGUGACCAACCUGCCCCAUGCUCCAGAAUAGCUCUUGGAAACGGGUGGUGAUGCUGGAUGCUCCAACUUGACGCAUGUCUUGUUGGGAAAGUGUUUAGUGGCAUGGGAUGGGGUCGCGUCCUAUCAGCUUGUAGGCGGGGUAAUGGCCCACCUAGGCUUCGACGGGUAGCCGGCCUGAGAGGGCGGACGGCCACAUUGGGACUGAGAUACGGCCCAGACUCCUACGGGAGGCAGCAGAG